rnacentral:lncRNA from 1 species
AGGGUUAGAUUGUUUGUUUUACUGUUUCUGUUACUCUUAUUGCCUUCCAGGCCUGGUGGAAGAUACUAACUGGCCAUUUGGCUAUCCCAAAUAAUACAUGUGAGUGGUGUUGAACGGGGAGAAUGCUGAUGAUUUAUUUUAUUUGUACAAGGACCAAGAGCACAUUUGAUAAGACAUAAUAUGUACUAUCUAAAGUUAAAACAAACAAGUCACUUCUAGUUAGUGGUGUAUAGCAUACUUCAAACCACCAAGGUACAUGUAUAUCUUUAUUCUUGUGUAUCUAUGUAUCAAUACACAGCUCUGCUUCAAAAUCAAAACUAUUGUCAUCCAGAAAUGUUUGAGGGAAAAGUGCCAAGUUUAUUUUAAAAAUUAGCAAAAAGCUUGUUAGUGAAUUUAGUAAUAAUCAUCGACCAAAUAAGCGCCUGAUUAUGGUAUGAAUACCUUGGUGUACUUACAAGUAUGCAUGGGUAUACUUAGAAUCUAUAGUAACAGUGUACUCUAAUAAUUUCUUCUAUUUUCCCUUUUGAUCAACUUUUAAAAUAGAAUUUAGACCAAUGGCAGAGUUCCCUGAUAUUUUAGAGUUUCGUUCUUAAGAGUUACUGCGGAUCACUUCAAAAUAUACAUAAUUUUGAAACUAAUCCAGCAGAUCACGCAACACUUAUUACUAUAGAGAAAGACUCUUAUAUUCUUAGAUUGUGAAGGAAAUUUUAGGCUAUUGGCAAGAUGGCAGUCAUCCUUUUCGAGUUGUAAGUCACUGCACAAUCCCCAGACAAGUUUUCAGACUGGUUUUGAGACUCAUCAUACUUCCAGUAUACCAAGAAACAAGAAUUGGGCUGUGGAAAUGCUGACUAUUGACAAUUGCUAGGGACAGUAUAGGAGUUGUUUGCUGGUGUCAGUGUUAGGAGCAACAAACCUGCAGUGUAAAACACUAAGAGUGUUUGUUCCUAGUAGUCAUGAAUCAUAAUGAGCAGAUGUAGAAACUCUAUACAUGUACAUGCAUGUAUACUUGUUACAAAUCAAUGGUAUUGUUUUCAUUACAGGUUGGUCAGCUUCUUAACUGGGAGAAGAUCAAUGUGGCCAUGACUAGAGCCCGCAAACACAAGCUGAUAUUUAUUGGGUCUUGUGGUAUCCUCUCCGGUCACUAAAAUUGAUCAAUCUCAUCAAUGAACACAAAUGGAUGGUUGAUUUGUA